rnacentral:rRNA from 1 species
CCUACGGGAGGCAGCAGUGGGGAAUCUUGCGCAAUGGGCGAAAGCCUGACGCAGCAACGCCGCGUGCGGGAAGAAGGCUUUCGGGCUGUAAACCGCUUUCAGCAGGAACGAAAAUGACGGUACCUGCAGAAGAAGGAGCGGCCAACUAUGUGCCAGCAGCCGCGGUGAUACAUAGGCUUCAAGCGUUGUCCGGAUUUAUUGGGCGUAAAGAGUUCGUAGGCGGUCGAGUAAGUCGGGUGUGAAAAUUCUGGGCUCAACCCAGAGACGCCACCCGAUACUGCUUAACUUGAGUUCGAUAGGGGAGUGGGGAAUUCCUAGUGUAGCGGUGAAAUGCGCAGAUAUUAGGAGGAACACCGGUGGCGAAGGCGCCACUCUGGAUCGAUACUGACGCUGAGGAACGAAAGCAUGGGUAGCAAACAGGAUUAGAUACCCUGGUAGUCCAUGCCGUAAACGGUGGGCACUAGGUGUGGGAUUCUAUUAACGAAUUCCGCGCCGUCGCUAACGCAUUAAGUGCCCCGCUGGGGAGUACGGUCGCAAGACUAAAACUCAAAGGAAUUGACGG